CAUCAUAAGCGGAGGAAAAGAAACUAACAAGGAUUCCCCUAGUAACGGCGAGUGAAGCGGGAACAGCUCAAGCUUGAAAUUGCAUUUCUAGUUUUACUAAGAUUUGCCGAGUUGUAGCUUUUGGAGGCACUAUUGAGCAGCUAAUCCUGUGGUAAAAGUCCUUUUGAAUAAGGCAUCAAAGAGGGUGAAAAUCCCGUAUUUGACCACGGGGGGAAUUUUGUAAAAUUUAUUAGCUUGCGAUACCAGGUGCUUUUCUAUGAGUCGGGUUGUUUGGGAAUGCAGCCCUAAUUAGGAGGUAAAUUUCUUCUAAAGCUUAAAUAUAAGCGAGAGACCGGUUGCAUACAAGUACCGUGAGGGAAAGAUGAAAAGCACUUUGAAAAGAGAGUGAAAAGUAACGUGAAAUUGUUGAAAGGGAACCGGUUGGUGGCCAAAUAUUCGCCYAHUAGUAGUUCAUUUUAUGGAUUGCUAGUGGGAAGGAGGGUCAACAUCAGUUGUUUUGUGGCUAGAAGGGCAGAGGCCCGUUUUGUUUUUGGGGGGGAAAUGUAKUUAKUUAACACUUUCGGGGGMUAGUUAAUGUUAUASACCCCCUCUUUUUGCCCGGGUUGGGGUUUUAGCKCUCCAAUCUAUAUAGUUGCGGGAGUGAGGUAUAUAGCGUGUUUUGAUACAAAGGGCGGGAUUUAGAAGGGGGUAUUGUAGGGGGUUUGUGAUAGACMGCCUGGGAGAUAGUGWGAAUUUUUUAUAUAUUYUGGYUAUUUUUUGACCAAGAAACGCUUUGGAUGUUGGCGAAAAGGCAUCAAUC
rnacentral:rRNA from 1 species